UACGGGGGGGGCAAGCGUUGUUCGGAAUUACUGGGCGUAAAGGGCUCGUAGGCGGCCAACUAAGUCAGACGUGAAAUCCCCAGGCUCAACCUGGGAACUGCGUCUGAUACUGGAUGGCUUGAGUUCGGGAGAGGGAUGUGGAAUUCCAGGUGUAGCGGUGAAAUGCGUAGAUAUCUGGAGGAACACCGGUGGCGAAGGCGGCAUCCUGGACCGACACUGACGCUGAUGAGCGAAAGCCAGGGGAGCAAACGGG
rnacentral:rRNA from 1 species